rnacentral:rRNA from 1 species
ACCAGACUCCUACGGGAGGCAGCAGUGGGGAAUAUUGGACAAUGGGGGGAACCCUGAUCCAGCGACGCCGCGUGAGUGAAGAAGUAUUUCGGUAUGUAAAGCUCUAUCAGCAGGGAAGAAGAAAGACGGUACCUGACUAAGAAGCCCCGGCUAACUACGUGCCAGCAGCCGCGGUAAUACGUAGGGGGCAAGCGUUAUCCGGAUUUACUGGGUGUAAAGGGAGCGUAGACGGUUAUGUAAGUCUGGAGUGAAAGCCCGGGGCCCAACCCCGGGACUGCUUUGGAAACUGUGUAACUGGAGUACAGGAGGGGCAGGCGGAAUUCCUGGUGUAGCGGUGAAAUGCGUAGAUAUCAGGAGGAACACCGGCGGCGAAGGCGGCCUGCUGGACUGAAACUGACGUUGAGGCUCGAAAGCGUGGGGAGCAAACAGGAUUAGAUACCCUCGUAA